rnacentral:rRNA from 1 species
UGAGAUGUUGGGUUAAGUCCCGUAACGAGCGCAACCCUUGUCCUUAGUUACCAGCACGUAAUGGUGGGCACUCUAAGGAGACUGCCGGUGACAAACCGGAGGAAGGUGGGGAUGACGUCAAGUCAUCAUGGCCCUUAUGGCCAGGGCUACACACGUGCUACAAUGGUCGGUACAAAGGGUUGCCAAGCCGCGAGGUGGAGCCAAUCCCAUAAAACCGAUCGUAGUCCGGAUCGCAGUCUGCAACU